CCUACGGGGGACAGCAGUGAGGAAUAUUGGUCAAUGGACGCAAGUCUGAACCAGCCAUGCCGCGUGCAGGAAGACGGCUCUAUGAGUUGUAAACUGCUUUUGUACGAGGGUAAACGCAGAUACGUGUAUCUGUCUGAAAGAAGCGUACGAAUAAGGAUCGGCUAACGCCGUGCCAGCAGCCGCGGUAAUACGGAGGAUUCAAGCGUUAUCCGGAUUUAGUGGGUUUAAAGGGUGCGUAGGCGGUCGGAUAAGUUAGAGGUGAAAUCCCGAGGCUCAGCUUCGGAAUUGCCUCUGAUACGGUUCGGCUAGAGCGUAGUUGCGGUAGGCGGAAUGUCUUGUGUAGCGG
rnacentral:rRNA from 1 species